CGGAGUCGCAGCUGGACGCAGCUGGGCGCAGAAGGGAGGGUGGGUGUGCGCGUCCCCGGUGCGCCCCGCGGGCUCCCGUGCGGCGCCCGAGCCAGGGAGUACGCCCCGUGCAAAGGACCGCGACUUGACUUUUGCGCGCGCCGCGAAGCGCCUACUGAGUGCACGGCCCCCGCAGGACGCGCAUUCGCGGGGAAGCUACUUGGCGGAGCAGCACACCAGCUGCACGCACUAGGUUUCAUUUCACUACCCAGGAGGGUCCCGCGUUCGAGGUCAGCCUGGGCUACAUUGCAAGAACCAGCCGCAGAGCAUAACUAGUGAUCCUGCCUGCUCAUAAGCCCCCCAUGACCACCAGGUGGGGUGCCUCCUCCUCUGGUCACUGUGACAUCACCCUCACGCUUGUCAGCGCUUGUCAUGGGUAAGCAGCCCUUGAGGGCGCUGCCUGAGCCAACAGCUGGCAGAUGUUAGGAGCUAAAACAGGGGUUGGAUGAAUUAGGCUCAGCAUAAUGUCCUGCCUUUAGCUCAUCGGCUUUAAGAGAGCUCCAGGCUUCUGUCGAGGAUGAGAAACAGAGUCUGCCCCGGGGGCUGCAGCACUGAAGUGCCUGGGACCCGCAGAGGGGACUUGGAUCUGAAGGAUCAUCAGGCAUUGCUCUCCGGAGGCAGAGGCAGGCGGAUCUCUGUGAGUUCGAGGGCAGCCUGGUCUACAGAGCGAGUGUCAGGACAGGCUCCAAAGCUACACAGAGAAACCCUGUCUCGAAAACCAACAUCAACAAGAACAAAACACCAAAAACCACCACCACCACCACCACCACCACCACCAACAACAACAACAACAACAACAAAACAGAAAAAAGAUCUGAAGGAUCUUUCCAAGCCUCCGUCGUCUUCCUCUCUAAGACUUAAGCCUCUCCAGUCUAUUCCCCACUCCCACCCCCACCCCGUGCUCCUUCGUUGUGUGGUCUCUGUUCCCAGUUUCCGUCUUGUUCCCUGUCUUCUUCAUAUGCCUCCUCCCUCAAAGGAAGAGCCACUUGUGGAUGACCGGGACAGGCUGCAGAUGGAGUUCCUGCUGAUUCUGAUGAAGCUGGUGCCCUGGCACCUUGCAUUAAUCUCGGGCGUCAGUGAUUUAUGCUGACUUGUGUAGUUUCUCUGAUCUGUGGGGUGCUGGGCCCCUGGGCAGCAGGAAUCCACCCAUCUCAGACUGCCAGAUGCUGCGAUCACAGGCUUGUUCCCACUGCAGUGUGCCUCUGGUUUACAUUUCCCGAGUGGCAAAUGACUUCUGUGCUUAUUGGCCAUUCAUAUAACUUUCCAUAGGAACAUUUAUUCAAAUUAUUUUACCAUUUAAAGAGUGGGGGUUUGCUUGGUUUUUUGUUUGUUUUGUUUUGUUUUGUUUUUCGAGACAGGGUUUCUCUGUGUAGCUUUGGAGCCUAUCCUGGCACUCGCUCUGGAGACCAGGCUAGCCUCGAACUCAUAGAGAUCGGCU
rnacentral:lncRNA from 1 species